ACACUACUACAAAUCCCGUCCAUUCUAGACGCUUUAUGCUCGACGCUAGGUAACAAGCGUUAGCCAAAAAAUUAAUUUCCGUGGUUUUUCGACGCUUUUAAGUGCCAUAAUUGGAUCUCGACAAAUAAAAGCGUCAAAAUACACAGACCUUAAUGCACGUGACUACAGCCCAUCCCGGGAGUUAAAAAUUUUAGAAAAAAAAAAGCGGGCUAGCUAAAUCAAAAAAAUUAAAAAAAAAACCGCCCAUAUACAGACAUACAGUAUACCAAAAUAAAAGUUAGACGGAAGAAAUAAAAAAAAAAAAACCCUUUAGUUCGCCAUUAUCGAAACCCUAGCUAACUUUCCUUUGCUUCGAUCGAUCUCAUCUGAUCUCCUAAAUCACUUGAAAUUGUUGAAUUUUGCGUUCCUCUCUUCAGUAUUAUCUUCAAUUUUCGGUUGCUUAUGCUGAAUCUUUGUUUAUUCAUUGCACGUUAUGGAAAUUCUUUUUGCUAAUGGGAUUUCGAAACGACCGACGCAGAGAAUUCAAGAAUAUAUAUCACGCAGGUAUACACCACUUGAUACGAAAGGCUUGCUGGAAACAUUUGGAAAGAAAAGCAUAGAGUCCUGGACCUAAAUUUCAAGAAAUCGUGAAUAUUCGUUUGGGAGACGGAUCAACUCGUAGAGGUCAAGUUUUGGAAGUUGAUGGUGAGAAGGCUGUAGUUCAGGAACAUCUGGAAUUGACAACAAAUAUACUAUCGUGCAGUUCACUGGUGAGAUAUGUGCCCUUACAACCCAAACUACAACGACCCAGCAAAAGGUCCUAACACCUAUCAAUUACCUCAGCACCUACCCUUCUGCAAACCAAAAGAGUGCUCAUUAAUCUGCAUCCACGAGCUGAUACUGGAAAUGCAAUGUCUGCUGUAAUUUUUUUAGCAAUUAAGUUUUAUAUUAUACUCCUGUAUUUUCUUUUAACAAUUAAAUAUUAUA